rnacentral:rRNA from 1 species
AACGAACGCUGGCGGCAGGCCUAACACAUGCAAGUCGAGCGCGCCUUCGGGUGAGCGGCGGACGGGUUAGUAACGCGUGGGAAUAUGCCCGGUACUAGGGAAUAGCCACUGGAAACGGUGAGUAAUACCUUAUACGCCCUUCGGGGGAAAGAUUUAUCGGUAUCGGAUUAGCCCGCGUUAGAUUAGGUAGUUGGUGGGGUAAUGGCCUACCAAGCCUACGAUCUAUAGCUGGUUUUAGAGGAUGAUCAGCAACACUGGGACUGAGACACGGCCCAGACUCCUACGGGAGGCAGCAGUGGGGAAUCUUGGACAAUGGGCGCAAGCCUGAUCCAGCCAUGCCGCGUGUGUGAAGAAGGCCUUCGGGUUGUAAAGCACUUUCAGUCGUGAGGAAGGUAGUGUAGUUAAUAGCUGCAUUAUUUGACG